GGUGUGUUUCUGAGUGAAUGCUCCCAAAUUUCAAUUAUUGUAAACGGCACUGCCGUGGGCCUUCUUGUACACGUCUCCUGAGGUGUGUCUGUGAGUGUCUGCUCCCAAAUUUCCAUGAUUGUAAACAGCACUGUUGUGGGUGUUCUCGCACAUGUCUCCUGAGGUGUGGAGUUG